rnacentral:lncRNA from 1 species
AAGGAUACGAUGGCGCUGCUAAUAUGAGCGGUGUCUAUUCUGGCGUCCAGGCACGUAUAAAGGAGAUGGAGCCACUUGCAAAAUACGUGCAUUGCGCCGCGCAUAACCUCAAUUUGGCACUUAAUGACUCCGUUAACCUCUUAAGACCCAUUCGCCCACCGGUGGGCGAUUUGUGUUUGUUGACCACAUGUUCCCACUACGCAGCGACAUAACCCGCUUCAACUUUCAUCAUUACAGACAUUCUAUACAUCGUUAGAAAGGGUAGAAUCUCCACAAUUUAUUCAUCCGGUUUUUUUUUUUCAUAAAUCAUGAGCACAAAACCAUAAAUAUUGAUAUUAACCAGCAUGGUAAACCGGAAAUGCCAAUAAAACAGAGAGACUCCCUACCUUUGAAGCAAUCCGAGAACCGUAAUAUGUGUCCAUUCCUCAAUUAUUUAUAUUCCAAAUGUCCGUGAGAAUCCACUGAUCAAAAGCAUCCACAUGGUUUUUCAUAAAAUUAUUCCAGCUUGUGAAUAUUGUCGUGUAAAGUCCAUUUGUUUACCAUCUCCAAACUUUGUUCGUCAACUAACAUCCAGCUUUUCAAAGCCGCAUGGCUAUUUUCUCUACCUCCAGUAUGGAGUUGUUGGGUAUGCUUGUUUUCAUCACUUUGCUGGCUACAAAAUGAAAGUGUCCCCGUCUUUUUCUGUUCAGUUUUCACCCCGGUACAGCCCGUGAAGUAGAUGGAGCGCUCCCAGUUCGAAGGGCCAAUGGGCUUUGUUUACUUUGUUACGCGGCUUUAGUAUAGGGACAGCGUAUUGGCUAUUGAUAUAUCAGUCACUUGGGCUUCUAGCCAAUGAGUUUACCUUUCCAACGCUACCAGGCGUGUCCAGGUGUGAUACGUAUGAGCCGAGAUAUACAGCUGCGUCAUCACGGCAGACAACUCGCUUUGCGCAUGACAGAGCCUCCAGCGGACCAGGACGCACGCCGCACACAUUGAUCACAUUGAUUUCGCCGUUUACAAUGGCGAAAUCAACGAAGAAAACGAAAUAUUACACACAUGAAGAAGCCCUCGCUUUGAUUUUGGCUUCAUCCGAGGACAGCGAAGACAGCCAAUAUGAUUCUGAGAUAGAGGAGAUGUUCAAGCAACAAUUGGACGAAGUCUUAGAUCGGUCAAUGUCUGAGGACAGUGAUGCGGAUUGGGAGCCGCAAAGCCAGACAGGCAGACCCCCGGCCCCCACUCCUACUGAAGGUGGUCGUGAGAGAUCCGGUAGUGUCUCAUCACAUGACAAUAUCUCAAUAUGGCCAUAUCAAAUGAAUGUGUGAAAAAAUUAUGUUUUGAAUCAUGGAGAAAGGUUUUAUAGUCACCAAAAUGCUUCAGUAAUGUUUCCAGUGUCACAGAAGUGAGUAAAUGCAUUUGGCACAAUUUGGCCAUUUUGGAGACAUUUUGGAGAGGUUUGGGCCGCCAGUGACCACACACCAUAAAAACUCCAUUAACUCCCAAAGCUUUAGGCCUAGAACUCCAAAUUUUUUUCCAGGUGUAGUUGGCAUGAUGUAGAAGGUAUUUGGCAUAUUGCCAUAUGCCUUACAUAAAGCACAUCCUAGUUAUUGUAGUUCAAAUAUGACCCAUUAUUUUCGAAAACAAAAAAAUUGCUUUAGAGCCAUGUCUGAACUGAUGUCAUUUAGGUUGUGUGUAUGACACAUGCCAAAUAAACAUAUCUACAGAAACUAGAGCUUGUCAGCUUUCAAAUGAAGUAUCAUACAUCCAUCUAGGACUUAGGGUUACUGUGUUAUAAGCUUUUCCAUUUGGGUAUGUGUUUAGGCGAAAAAAACCAAAAUACUGCCGGACCUUAACAGGUUGGACAUUACUGAAAUGGGCAACUUUUACGACACAAUCGAGGCCCUUUAUUUAUUUUUCAGUAAGAGCAUUAAGAGAUGGUCACUCCUGUCGGACUCUGAGGUAACCCUGAAGCGUCUUUGCCCCACACGAUGGUCCUCAAGGUAUGACGCCCUCAACUCUCUGAGGUAUCGAUAUGUGGAUGUUUUGAAAGCUCUAACC